GGAUCCCGACCCAGGAAGCCAGCACCUCGCAUCUCCCAGCAGAAUGAGCAAAAAGGAGAAGCGCUCUAUACUGGACUGACCACUCGGGAUCAGGAGACCUAUGAAAACUUUAAACCCAAGGGCAAUUAGGAGUCCCAGCAGUAGCCACUGGUGCAGCCUCUGCAAAAGGACGUGUCCUGUUGGGGAUUCAUAUGAGCUCCGCCCCAGCCCUCAAAGGAAAAACUGUUGCUGAAAUCGGUGGCCCUCAUUCUGACGUGUUGGGGAGAGGCUGAACCCCUGCUGGGAUCCCUGGAAGACGAACAUCCCACCUUGCACAUCACUCCAUUACUCCAUUACUCUGCAGCUGCUGACUCAGUUUCCCCUGUCCCGCCUCUCUCGUAUUUCCAGCGCAGGAGAUACGCAGAUGUGCUCCCCUAAUCUUCUGUGCUUCUCAUCCAUGCCUCAAAGAGAGUCUCCACUAAGAGAGAGGUGGAUUUCCCUCCAAUAGCAACACCCUGCGCUCUUUUACAUGAGAUGCUUAAUGUGCAGUAGCCUAA